GGUUGUGGCUCAGAGGUAGAGUGCUCGCCUAGCAUGUGAGAGGCACUGGGUUAGAUACUUAGCGCCA
rnacentral:tRNA from 1 species